rnacentral:rRNA from 1 species
UACGUAGGUGGCAAGCGUUGUCCGGAAUCAUUGGGCGUAAAGAGCGCGUAGGUGGCUUGUCAGGUCCGAUGUGAAAACCUGGGGCUCAACUCCAGGCCUGCAUCGGAAACCGGCUUGCUAGAGUCCGGGAGAGGAGAGUGGAAUUCCUGGUGUAGCGGUGAAAUGCGUAGAUAUCAGGAGGAACACCGGUAGCGAAGGCGGCUCUCUGGAACAGUACUGACGCUGAGGCGCGAAGGCUAGGGGAGCGAACAGGAUUAGAUA